UCUCAUUUGUGUCGAUUUCCCUUUCUCUUCUUCUCGUGCCCUAGCCAUCACCACCGCCCGAACUCCUAUUCCUCUUCCUCUUCCUCUCGCCUCUGCCCAACGCUGUCGACGCUGCCGGACGCCGAUCGAUCGCAGGCGCUGCCAUGGGAAGGAGGGAGUUGCGGAUCUCUUCAUCGCCACUCCUCUCCUUUCUCUCUGUGUCGAGUUCCCCUCUUCCUCGUGAUUUCCUCUUCUCCCAUGUUCUGCUGGACGUUGCCAUCCUGUCACCAUCGCCGGUUGUCAUUCACGGUCACUUUGUGGCCACCUCGGCCGGACAUGGCUAGCUCGCAACCAGACACGGCCAGCCGCAACCACUACUGCUCACCCUAAUUUUGGUCAGUGCCCUAGUUCUCCAUCGCUGCCCUCUGCCCUAAACCGAGCAUGUCUCCUUCCUCUGCACAGGAGCCGCCAGUGGUUUCUUGACAGCCAUGAGCGAGGUCAUCAAACUGUCGCCGAUGUUGAGAGAUAUCAGAUUUGGCUUGAGGAUGCCAGAUUUCUUCGUUUGAUUUGAUGUACGUCUAUAUGAUGGUGGGGAAUUUCUGUACUGGUGUGGUUCUCGGAUUUUGAUUUGAGAUGAGACAUGUCUCGACGUGGGAUUUUAUUGGCACGAUUUUCGCAAUAAAGGUUGAGGCUGUUCGGAGCAGUUACAGUCGCUAGUCCCCAUUGCACGUAGUGCUAGUCCUCUACUGAUCUCGAGUUAUAUU